rnacentral:rRNA from 1 species
AUUGAACGCUGGCGGCAUGCCUUACACAUGCAAGUCGAACGGUAACAGGUCUUCGGAUGCUGACGAGUGGCGAACGGGUGAGUAAUACAUCGGAACGUGCCCGAGAGUGGGGGAUAACGAGGCGAAAGCUUUGCUAAUACCGCAUACGAUCUCAGGAUGAAAGCAGGGGACCGCAAGGCCUUGCGCUCACGGAGCGGCCGAUGGCAGAUUAGGUAGUUGGUGGGAUAAAAGCUUACCAAGCCGACGAUCUGUAGCUGGUCUGAGAGGACGACCAGCCACACUGGGACUGAGACACGGCCCAGACUCCUUCGGGAGGCAGCAGUGGGGAAUUUUGGACAAUGGGCGCAAGCCUGAUCCAGCCAUGCCGCGUGCAGGAUGAAGGCCUUCGGGUUGUAAACUGCUUUUGUACGGAACGAAAAGACUCCUUCUAAUAAAGGGGGUUCAUGACGGUACCGUAAGAAUAAGCACCGGCUAACUACGUGCCAGCAGCCGCCGCCGUAA